rnacentral:rRNA from 2 species
GUGGGGAAUAUUGGACAAUGGGCGCAAGCCUGAUCCAGCCAUGCCGCGUGUGUGAAGAAGGCCUUAUGGUUGUAAAGCACUUUAAGCGAGGAGGAGGCUACUUUAGUUAAUACCUAGAGAUAGUGGACGUUACUCGCAGAAUAAGCACCGGCUAACUCUGUGCCAGCAGCCGCGGUAAUACAGAGGGUGCAAGCGUUAAUCGGAUUUACUGGGCGUAAAGCGCGCGUAGGCGGCUAAUUAAGUCAAAUGUGAAAUCCCCGAGCUUAACUUGGGAAUUGCAUUCGAUACUGGUUAGCUAGAGUGUGGGAGAGGAUGGUAGAAUUCCAGGUGUAGCGGUGAAAUGCGUAGAGAUCUGGAGGAAUACCGAUGGCGAAGGCAGCCAUCUGGCCUAACACUGACGCUGAGGUGCGAAAGCAUGGGGAGCAAACAGGAUUAGAAACCCUAGUAGUCC